rnacentral:rRNA from 1 species
GGGUCUAAUACCGGAUACUGACCNUCGCAGGCAUCUGCGAGGUUCGAAAGCUCCGGCGGUCCUUCACUCUGGGACAAGCCCUGGAAACGGGGUCUAAUACCGGAUAAUACCUGCCUNGGCAUCUGGGUGGGUUGAAAGCUCCGGCGGUGAAGGAUGAGCCCGCGGCCUAUCAGCUUGUUGCGGGUAGCCGGCCUGAGAGGGCGACCGGCCACACUGGGACUGAGACACGGCCCAGACUCCACUGGGACUGAGACACGGCCCAGACUCCUACGGNAGGCAGCAGUGGGGAAUAUUGCACAACGUGAGGGAUGACGGCCUUCGGGUUGUAAACCUCUUNCAGCAGGGAAGAAGCGANAGUGAACGUGCCAGCAGCCGCGGUAAUACGUAGGGUGCGAGCGUUGUCCGGAAUUAUUGGGCGUAUGCGCAGAUAUCAGGAGGAACACCGGUGGCGAAGGCGGAUCUCUGGGCCAUUACUGACGCCUGAGGAGCGAAAGCGUGGGGAGCGAACAGGAUUAGAUACCCUGGUAGUCCACGCCGUAA